rnacentral:rRNA from 1 species
AUUGAACGCUGGCGGCAUGCCUAACACAUGCAAGUCGAGCGGCGCGGCGGAAGGGUAAGUACUGCCUAGUAAUCUACCUGGUGGUGGGGGAUAAAGUACGGAAACAGGCGCUAAUACAGCAUGCUUUCAGGUGAGCCUAGGUUGGAUUAGCUAGUGGGGGGGGUAAUGGCCUACCAAGGCGACGAUGCAUAGCUGGUCUGAGAGGAUGAUCAGUCACACUGGAACUGAGACACGGUCCAGACUCCUACGGGAGGCAGCAGUGGGGAAUAUUGGACAAUGGGCGAAAGCCUGAUCCAGCCAUGCCGCGUGAGUGAAGAAGGUCUUCGGAUUGUAAAGCACUUUAAGUGGGGAGGCGGUAUCAAAAGAAGAAGCACCGGCUAACUACGUGCCAGCAGCCGCGGUAAUUC